rnacentral:piRNA from 1 species
UACCACUACAAAUUCCAGUUCUCCCUGGUAA